GUCCCAAAAUCGAUUGACAACAUCGGCAUUCCCAUUGUGGCAAUUGAGUUUGAAAUAAAGAACUUCUCCAGGAGUGAUUUGGGAAACAACAUUACGAAUCUGAUCGGCAACCUCUUGAAAGAACGUUAUACUGACCCGUCCUAUGAAAGAACAAUAUUUUUUCAAAUUUCUCUGAGCAACAACAGUGUAACAGCAUCUCAGGGAACCCAGAAGGUGGAAAUACUGCAACAGUUCAAGGUGCCUGCGGAGGGGCCUAACAUCUGUUUCGCAGGCAACGCCACUGUUGAGGAUGUCAUAAGAGACGCACUCAGCCCCCAGUUUGGCCAGGUUUCCAAUAUCAACAUCACAGGCAGUAUCAGUACUGUGGUGACCUUCCAAACGGACAUUCAGUAUGAUGUUGCGCUCAACAACCGUACCAGCGAAGAGUUCCAAAAUCUGGAAAAACAGAUUAUUGAUGUGAUUGAUGAAAUCUCCAAAACCAAAUAUGGAAUAGUCUAUAAAAGAACAAUUGUUAUUGGUUUCAGCAAAAGGGCUCAAAGAAACGACAC
ensembl:lncRNA